GUCUGAGCUGAAUCUUAAAGAAGCCAGGGAAACUAAGAGGAGGAAGCGUGACCAGAACUGUACUCUUCCAAACACUCCCUCCUGAAUUGCUCAUCUAAAUGAGGACAGAAACUCCUGAGCCAGAAAAUGUCUUGAAUCCAUCCCCCUAUAGGAUUUUUGAUUGAAGUGUGAAGGAACAUAAAAUCAGCCCAAAACAUACUCUGUUGAGCUUAUUGGAAAAUGACUAGAAUAAAUGGGCCCCAUGGUAUCACUUCCCUGAGACCUUCAACUCAACUUCCCCUUUCAAUGACUGCUCCCCUAUCAGAAGGUAAAUUCACUUGGAACAGAGACCGUCUUGCUUCUAUUUGUAAUCUCAGCACUCAGAACAAUACCUGAAACUUAGUAAGUGCCUAAUAACUGAAAAGGAUCCAAAAGAGAACAACUAGGAUUAUAAAGGACCUUGCAUUUACAUCAUAUGGGGACUGAAUGAAUGGGAAUGUUCAGCGUGGAGAAGUGAAGAUGCAGAGGGAAUAUAAUCUUGCUCAAAUAAUUGAAGGGCUAUCACAUAAAGGACGCAUAAAUUAGUCUUUCUCUGUCUGUCCUGAGAGCAACAGGUAGGAGUUAAAAAAGGGCAAACAAAGUAAGGCUGAGUGACAGCAAAAAAAAAUCCUAACCAUUUAGAGUAUCUAAAAGUAGAAUGGAUUCCCCACAUAGGUACCCUCUUCUUGGCAGUCUUCAGGAAGAAGCUAGACAACCACCAAGCAGAUACAAUGUAGAAGGGAUUUGUUUCUGUAUAUGGAUUAGAUGAAAAGGCCACUGAGAUAUCUUUCAAAUCUCAAAUUCAUGGAAGCUAUGAUUUCUCCACUGGUAACUUGCUACUAAGUGAUAGAACCAUAUUACUACAAUUCUCCUAAGUCCAGGUAUGGUGCUUUCUGCUAGUUCGUGAUGUCAAUGGCAAUAUUUGA
rnacentral:lncRNA from 1 species